CACGGACCCAGGUCCAAUUCUAACCUCGGGUGACUAUCUGUAUGCAAUUUGCACAUAGUGCUUGUAUCUGCAUGACUUUUGCCGGGUGCUCUGGUUUCCUCCCACAUUCCAAAAAUGUGCAGAAAGUGACCAGUAGUGACCAAUCCAUCAGCCCUAGACUUACUUCAACAUUCUCCAAAACAGAUGCUGAUCCUGCCAAAACUCAGAUCAAUGAUCGAUAUGAACCAAUGAGAGCCUUCUGGUCAACUCUACGAAAACUCUU